rnacentral:rRNA from 1 species
AACGAACGCUGGCGGCAGGCCUAACACAUGCAAGUCGAGCGAGAUCUUCGGGUCUAGCGGCGGACGGGUGAGUAACGCGUGGGAAUAUGCCUCUUGGUACGGAAUAGCCUCGGGAAACUGGGAGUAAUACCGUAUGUGCCCUUUGGGGGAAAGAUUUAUCGCCAAGAGAUUAGCCCGCGUUGGAUUAGGUAGUUGGUGGGGUAAUGGCCUACCAAGCCGACGAUCCAUAGCUGGUUUGAGAGGAUGAUCAGCCACACUGGGACUGAGACACGGCCCAGACUCCUACGGGAGGCAGCAGUGGGGAAUCUUAGACAAUGGGGGCAACCCUGAUCUAGCCAUGCCGCGUGAGUGAUGAAGGCCUUAGGGUUGUAAAGCUCUUUCAGCUAGGAAGAUACUGACGGUACCAGCAGAAGAAGCCCCGGCUAACUCCGUG